CAAGUACAAUGCAUGUUUACAACAGCUGGUUGCCUUGCCUUCGAGUGCUGACUAUAGGCUCCUGCACGCAAAGGAAUUGUACUAUAGCAACCACACCUUGCAUAUGCUUCCUUGAACUUCCCGGAAAGGCAAAACACCAGAGGUUCCAGGUAACCUCGGCGCAGAGAAUCGUAGCUUUUGAAGAUAGAAGGGGGCGAAGGAAGAGGGAGGUAGAAUGCUUUGUGCCUGAAUCGCCAAGUCCUUCCAUAGAAGUGAUUCCUUUCGGAACUCAAACAUGUUCAUCUACAUUUCUAAGCUAUCUUCGAAAGAAAAGCUGCCAUCGGAACAGAAUACCGGAGCCAGUCACAUUCCAGGACAUUGGGGCAUAUGGUCUACAAUGAAUGGUGCCAUCCUGCAUUUGUUGCCUUUCCAACCCUGUGGUAUAAUUCCCAAGCAAUUUUGAAAGUACANACAGAUUUCAAAACACUGCAAGCAAUUUUAAUUUCUCCUCCCCA
rnacentral:lncRNA from 1 species